GUGAGAGCAAGAGCCCGGAGAUGGAUUCUGAGACACGAAUCCAGGCCCUACGGGGUGCAGCAGGCGCGAAAACUUUACAAUGCCGGCAACGGCGAUAAGGGGACCUCGAGUGCCAGGUUACAAAUCUGGCUGUCGUGAUGCCUAAAAAGCAUUGCAUAGCAAGGGCCGGGCAAGACCGGUGCCAGCCGCCGCGGUAACACCGGCGGCUCGAGUGGUAACCGUUAUUAUUGGGUCUAAAGGGUCUGUAGCCGGCCGGAUAAGUCUCUUGAGAAAUCCAGCAGCUCAACUGUUGGGCUUUCAGGAGAUACUGUUCGGCUCGAGGCCGGGAGAGGUGAGAGGUACUUCAGGGGUAGGGGUGAAAUCUUGUAAUCCUUGAAGGACCACCAGUGGCGAAGGCGUCUCACCAGAACGGACCUGACGGCAAGGGACGAAAGCUAGGGGCACGAACCGGAUUAGAUACCCGGGUAGUCCUAGCCGUAAACGAUACUCGCUAGGUGUCGGCCACGGUGCGACCGUUGUCGGUGCCGUAGGGAAGCCGUGAAGCGAGC
rnacentral:rRNA from 1 species